UAGCUCAGUUGGUAGAGCAUGGUGUUUGCAACACCAGGGUUGUGGGUUCAAUUCCCAU
rfam:Salmo salar isolate Sally breed double haploid chromosome ssa22, whole genome shotgun sequence.